rnacentral:rRNA from 1 species
UACGUAGGGGGCGAGCGUUGUCCGGAGUUAAUGGGCGUAAAGCGCACGCAGGCGGUCCAUCGCGUUGGGGGUGACAGCUCUCGGCUAAACCGAAAGAGUGCCUUCAAAACGGAUGGACUUGAGGCAUCGAGAGGGACACGGAAUUCCGGGUGGAGUGGUGAAAUGCGUAGAGAUCCGGAAGAACACCAAAGGCGAAGGCAGUGUCCUGGCGAUGAUCUGACGCUCAGGUGCGAAAGCUAGGGGAGCGAACAG